CCUACGGGAGGCAGCAGUGGGGAAUAUUGCGCAAUGGGCGCGAGCCUGAACCAGCCAAGUAGCGUGAAGGAUGACUGCCCUACGGGUUGUAAACUUCUUUUAUAAGGGAAUAAAGGGAUGCACGUGUGGCUUUUUGGAUGUACUUUAUGAAUAAGGCUAGGCUAACUCCGUGCCAGCAGCCGCGGUAAUACGGAGGAUCCGGGCGUUAUCCGGAUUUAAUGGGUUUAAAGGGGUCGUCAAGGGGUUGUUAAGGUAGUCGUGCAAGUGUGCGGCUCAAACGUAAAAUUGCAAUUGAUACUGGCAGUCUUGAGUACAGUUGAGGUAGGCGGAAUUCGUGGUGUAGCGGUGAAAUGCAUAGAUAUCACGAAGAACUCCGAUUGCGAAGGCAGCUUACUAAACUGCCACUGACAUUGAUGCACGAAAGUGUGGGUAUCGAACAGGAUUAGAUACCCCAGUAGUC
rnacentral:rRNA from 1 species